rnacentral:rRNA from 1 species
GGGUCACUAGGCGGGUCGUGCCACCGGUACGUACUGGUCUCACUGAUUCCUCCUUCCUGAAGAACCGUAAUGCCAUUAAUUUGGUGUUGCGGGGAAACAGGACUGUUACUUUGAAAAAAUUAGAGUGUUUAAAGCAGGCUAACGCUUGAAUACAUUAGCAUGGAAUAAUGAAAUAGGACGAUCGAUCCUAUUUUGUUGGUUUCUAGGAUUGACGUA